AGCAGCCGCGGUAAUUCCAGCUCCAAUAGCGUAUAUUAAAGUUGUUGCAGUUAAAAAGCUCGUAGUUGAAUUUCGGGGUCAGCAGGUUGGUCGUGCCUCUGGUACGCACUGGUUUCGCUGAUUCCUCCUUUCUGAAGAACUGUAAUGUCAUUAAUUUGGUGUUGCAGGGAAACAGGACUGUUACUUUGAAAAAAUUAGAGUGUUUAAAGCAAGCUAACGCUUGAAUACAUUAGCAUGGAAUAAUGAAAUAGGACGUUUGAUCCUAUUUUGUUGGUUUCUAGGAUUGACGUAAUGAUUAAUAGGGAUAGUUGGGGGCAUUAGUAUUCAAUUGUCAGAGGUGAAAUUCUUGGAUUUAUUGAAGACUAACUACUGCGAAAGCAUUUGCCAAGGAUGUU
rnacentral:rRNA from 1 species